AGUGAUGUCCUUCUUCCAGCAGCAGAACUACUAGAUGUUUGCUGGCUAGAAAUCCAUGGAAGAUUCAAUACAACUAAGCUGUCGCCAGGGCUCAUUUAUGAGGUUGUCUUCAUUGUCAUGUUAAAGGAUCCUGCUUAUGGAUGGGAAAAUCCAGUGAAUCUACGACUCAUACUCCCAGAUGGUAGCAGACAAGGACAUACCGAG
rnacentral:misc_RNA from 1 species